GGGGAAUAUUGCACAAUGGGCGCAAGCCUGAUGCAGCCAUGCCGCGUGUAUGAAGAAGGCCUUAGGGGUUGUAAAGUACUUUCAGCGGGGGAGGAAGGUGAUAAGGUUAAUACCCUUAUCAAUUGACGUUACCCGCAGAAGAAGCACCGGCUAACUCCGUGCCAGCAGCCGCGGUAAUACGGAGGGUGCAAGCGUUAAUCGGAA
rnacentral:rRNA from 1 species